rnacentral:rRNA from 1 species
UACAUGUGGGGCAAGCGUUGUUCGGAAUUACUGGGCGUAAAGGGCUCGUAGGCGGCCAACUAAGUCAGACGUGAAAUCCCCAGGCUCAACCUGGGAACUGCGUCUGAUACUGGAUGGCUUGAAUCCGGGAGAGGGAUGCAGAAUUCCAGGUGUAGCGGUGAAAUUCGUAGAUAUUGGGAAGAACACCAGUGGCGAAGGCGGCUCACUGGUCCGCAACUGACGCUGAGGCGCGAAAGCGUGGGGAGCAAACAGG